rnacentral:rRNA from 1 species
AUGGAGCGCACGGCGCACUCCCUGGUGAGCAAUGUUGGGCAGCUGAUGGCCAACGAGGUUUGGCUGCUCCGCGCCGUGGGCCGCGAGGUCGUUGAGCUAAGGGACGAGCUGGCCACCAUGAACGCCGUCCUCCGCAUGCAGUCCGAAGCAGAGGACGGCGCCGUGGACCACUUCGUCCGGGAGUGGAUGAAGCAGGUGCGCGAGCUCGCAUACGAUGCAGACGACUGCAUCGACCUCUAUUUACUCCGAAUCAAGCGCCGCCCGAGCGACGGCUUUCUCGUCCGGUCCAAGCGCCUGCUUGUGACCCUUUUUCCACGGCGUCUCCUCGCCGGUAACAUCAGGGCCCUGCGCUCCCGAGCUGUCACCAUCAGCGAGCGCCAUGCUCGUUACAGCUCUAGCUGCCAGGCACUACGCCCCUCAGCUCCGUUCGCUCAUGUGCCGGCAGUGUGGGCGGAGUCAGCGCAAGCCCUUCGCCCUGCCGAUGCUGACGACCCUGAUCAGUUCGUCGGCAUCCAGGAGCAGGCUAAGAUCCUGGUGGCCAUGAUGGAGAAGGAAAAGGAUGGCAAGCUUCAGGUUUUUUCCAUCGUGGGGUUUGGAGGGCUCGGUAAAACUACGCUCGCCAUGGAAGUUUGCCGGCAGCUGGAGACCAUGUUCGAUCGCCAAGCCCAAGUGUCCGUGUCUCAGGCGUUCGACGGCGGGAACGACCUGCGUGCGCUGCUGAAACGCGUGCUGGAGCAGAUUGCCACUGUCAAGUCAAGAAAUGAGAAAGUCAUCAUGGAAGAAGAGGAACAGGAUACCGUGGGUAACAUUGACAGAAUGGAUGUGGAGGAACUGACCAGCACGCUCAAGGAACAGCUCAAAGGCAAGAGGUACCUCAUUGUGAUCGACGAUGUAUGGACAAUAGCAGCGUGGGCUACAAUACGCUCCAAAAUGCCAAAAACCACAUACGGCAGCAGAAUCAUUGUGACCACUCGGAUAGAUAGUGUGGGGAAAGAAUGCAGUGGAGGUAGUGUAUGUAAAUACUACAGUAUCCAACGACUCAGUUUGGAAGACUCUAAGAAGUUGUUUGUGAGGAGAGCUUUUGGCCCCAAGAGUACCUCUUGCCCAGAGGAGCUGAAAGCUUCAAUGAACAAUAUUUUGAAAAAAUGCAAUGGACUGCCAUUAGCUAUUGUUAGCAUUGGAAGCCUUUUAGCAAGCUAUUCCUCUCCAGAGAGCAGCCAUAUGAGGGAAACACUUUGUAGAUCAAUUGGUUCACAGAUGGAGACCAACCCAGCCCUUGUGGGGAUGAGGAAUAUCAUCACACUUAGCUUCAACUAUCUGCCUCAUGACCUCAAGCGUUGCAUGAUGUAUGUUAGCAUUUUCCCAGAGGAUUAUCAGAUCAGCAAAGACAGGCUCUUGAGAAGAUGGAUUGCUGAAGGAUUGAUACCUGAGAAGCGGGGGCUUACUUUGAUGGAGACUGCAGAGGCCUACUUCAAUGAGCUAGUGAAUAGGAGUAUGAUUGACCAAGCCGGCUGUAUAGUCACCUACUAUAAUAGAGUGGAUUUGUGUCGGGUGCACGACAUGAUGCUUGAGGUCAUGGUAUCUAAAUCAAUAGAGGCUAACUUCGUUAGCUUGGUAGGCAUUCAGUAUGAAGGAAUGUCAUAUGAUAUCGUUCGCCGCCUCUCCAUCCAUGAUGCAAAGCAGGGGAGAAAUUACUCCCCAACAGAGAAAGGCACAAUGGGGAGUGGAAUGGUGAAUGUUAUCGAGGGGAUGAACACGAAGCACGUACGGUCAUUGACCACAUUUCAUUCCGAAGGAGACAACUUGCUGCUCGAUCAACUAGGAAAGUUCAAACUGCUGAGGGUACUUGAUCUGGAAGACUGCAAGGACCUAAACAACAAGCAUUUGAGGUACAUUUGCAAGAUGUACCUUCUUAAGUUCUUGAGCUUGAGAGGUACAGAUGUCAGUGUCAUGCCUCCAGAAAUCUGCGACCUAGAGCAUUUGCAAACACUUGAUGUCGAUGAUACUCUCCUCGAGACGCUUCCAAACAGUGUGAUAAAGCUUACAAAACUUGAGAGGCUGAUGUUCUCCAAUAGGAAAAAUUGGACUGCCCUAUGGACAUUGCCUAAAGGGAUCUCAAAAAUGAAGGCAUUGCGUGAGGUGAGUAGAGCAAUCAUUAGAAAUGUUGAGGUUGCCAUAGAGAUCGGUGAUCUACAACAAUUGGAACGGAUAUUUGUCUAUCUCGAUAGAAGGUCCGAGCAGGAUAGUGAUAUUAGACGAGAGUUUAAAUGCUCACUAAGUAAGACAUCAUCCCUUCGGUGGCUCGAUGUGGGAGAGUUGAAUGAUGUCUAUAGAAAUGACAUGGACUAUCUCAUGGACCUCGACACGCCACCACAGCUUCUGCGGUACCUUAGGUUUGCUGGAUAUAUUUCUCGGAUUCCAGACUGGGUCGGUUCACUCGCCUUUCUCACCGAGUUCACCAUUUCAUGCGCAGAACUUGUAGGCGACCAACCAUUUGAGGUCCUUUGUAAGGCUCCCAUCCUGAAUAGCAUCUUGUUUCAGGUGCAUUUUUACAUUGAUGAAGAUCUGGUUGCACGGAGCGCCCACAAGUUUCGUAUGCUCAAGAAUAUGAGAGUGAUAAAUGCUGCUAAAACUCCCAAAGUUUUCAGUUUUGAGGAAGACUCCAUGACAAAGCUCGAGAUACUUGAAUUGGACUUCGGAGGUUGGCAUAAGAGCAUUGUUGGCAUCCAACACUUGACGAACCUUAAACAGGUGCGCCUCAGCGGCUACGGUAAUAACAUUUCUUUGAUCGAUGCAGCCAAUGAGCUAAAAGCUGAGAGUGAUAGACGCGGCAGGUCCAAUCUGUUUCCAUUCACAGUUGUAGUGAGAUACGGUUGA